rnacentral:tRNA from 1 species
GGACUGGUUAACUCAGUCGGUUGAGCAUGGUGCUGAUAACACCAAGGUCUCGGGUUCAAUUCCCGUUCGGUCCC